GUAGGUGGCAAGCGUUGUCCGGAAUUAUUGGGCGUAAAGCGCGCGCAGGCGGUUCUUUAAGUCUGAUGUGAAAGCCCACGGCUCAACCGUGGAGGGUCAUUGGAAACUGGAGAACUUGAGUACAGAAGAGGAAAGCGGAAUUCCACGUGUAGCGGUGAAAUGCGUAGAGAUGUGGAGGAACACCAGUGGCGAAGGCGGCUUUCUGGUCUGUAACUGACGCUGAGGCGCGAAAGCGUGGGGAGCAAACAGGGAUUAGAUACCCUGGUAGUCCACGCCGUAAACGAUGAGUGCUAAGUGUUAGGGGGUUUCCGCCCCCGUUAGUGCUGCAGCUAACGCAUUAAGCACUCCGCCUGGGGAUACGGCCGCAAGGCUG
rnacentral:rRNA from 1 species